ACAAAUCUUGAUAUAGAUGUUACCUUUUCUGUUUGUAGAAAAUCUUGACUCUGCCUUUGAAUGUUCAAUUGAUUUGCUAUUAUGUACGCAACCCUCAAAUUGAAUGAGUGAGUAGAACUCUUGAGAUACUUGACUUGAAUUUACUUACAUUCAUAUGAUGGAAUGGGAGUUUACUGUUUACCUGCAUAUGUUAUCUGGUGAGAUAGAUUGUAGAACUUCAAUUCAGAGGAUAACGUAUUGGGGCAGCUGCAAUGGAAAACUUGGGAAAAUCAAGUUAUACUUAUAGACACACUCAUGUACAUAAAUUUAGGAAAAUCAGUUUCAUUUGAAAGAAUAUGAAGAAAGUUUAUCUCUUGAUAUUGCUUGCUCUAUAUUGAACUUUUAAUGACUGGUAUUUUAUUUUUACUUGUUUUCAGUGCUUCUUUCCUCAGAAUUUUAUUAACAGUGUUAGAACUCCGCUCUUUCUUCUUAAUGCUGCUUAUGAUUCAUGGCAGGUAAAUUGUCUAACUUUAUCAUAAAUCAUAUAACAUGAUAUGUGGUAGUAUUGAUCAUUAAAUUAUUUGUACUAAAACAAUCACAUUUCCAAUUGUAAUCAGAUCCAAUCUAGUUUAGCUCCUCCAUCAGUAGAUCCCCAUGGAUAAUGUUCUAUCCCUGAUCUAUAGUUUAACUUUUAUUAAUUUUAGAAAAUUUCAAUCAAAAUUCCAAGGGUACUACUUGUUUCCAUGUGUUACUCUUGUGUAGCUAGUAGUAUCCAUAUUCAUAUUCUAUCAAUGAAUUUUACUAUAUUAUGUUCCACAUCCUGCAGAUGUGCAAUUUUGGUUGUAAGCCAUGGGGAUCCCCUGCAAAUCUUGCAAACAAUUCUCCUUGCUUCUAAUAAACACAAGGGUCCCUCUUAUGAUGACUUAGCUUCAAUGUUAGAGGCAGUUUAGGUGGCAUCGAUCUUGUCCCAACACCGCCAAUACACAAUGCAAACUGGAGAGCUCAAGGGAGUCAAUUAAGGUCUAACAUAGAGCCAACUUACUGUUUUAGUUGAAUUUGGAUCCCCUAUUCCACUAUUUACUUUUUAUAUUCAUAACCAAAACUUUUUAGAGUAUUUAUCAAAUAUUUUAUUUAGGAAGAUGAUUAUUGUCCUUUAUGAAAUUAGUUUGCAAUUUAUCACAAUAAAUGUUAAGAAAUUCAUUUUAUCUUCUGUUGAAAAUUUAUUAAAUCUUUUAGAGUAAAAUAACUAUUUAUUAUAUGUUUUAAUAGAAUUAGUAAAAUUAAAUUAUAUUUUACUGUAUGUUUCAAUGACAUUAGUUAAUAAAAAUAAAUUUAAAUUUAAUUUACUGGUAUUAAUAAUUUAGAAUUACAAUUAGUAGGGAGAUAAAAUAAAAUAAAUUUAAUAAAUAAUAAUAAGUUUUAGUGACAGACAAUACCGUAGGAAUAGAUCAAUUCUUUGUUUAUAUUUAUCUUAUGUUUAGUGACAGACAAUACUGUAGGAAUAGAUCAAUUCUUUAUUUACAUUUAUCUAAUUUUUAGUGACAGUUAUUAUUGUAGGUAGAAAUCAAAAACAUGUAGUGACAAUCUUGAGAACAUGUAGUGACAGUCCUCAAAAUGUAGCGGGCCGCCCCCUUAAAGUUGACACUUUAUUUGGGUGUCACUCAAAGUAUUGUUGACCUUUACCUACAGGUUUUUACUUUUAGUGACAAAAUAUGUGUGUCACGAUAAGUCAAUUUUUUUGUAGUGAUACUUCGAGAUUUAAUAAACUAACUGCAUAAAAAUUACUUGGAACUAAUAUUUUUUUUGACACAAAUUGCAACUAACUUUUAUUUCUAAUAAACAAGACUAUAGGAGCAUGUUAUAUAUGUGUGUGUAAUAAUAGAUAAAUAUAUGAAUUUUUUUCAUGACAGUUAUAAAUUUAAUAUUCUAAUUAAGAAAAAUAUUUUGUUUCUUCCGGUGGAAAUUGCAGAAGAAACAAAGAUGAAUAUUUAAUACGACUGUCUGAAGCAUAGUAAAUUUUUCAUUGGUGACUGUAUUGAUAUCUUGAAGGAUGACUCUUGUUCUUUUACUUGCCUUGUUGACUCUAGCAACACUUUUUUAAUGAAUUUUAAUCUUUAUUGUUAAGACAACAUAUAUUUUUCAAUGAAUUUUUUCAUGUAUGUUUAGGAUAUUAUAAAUAGUUCAUUAAAAAAAAAGUUCAAAAUUUGAUUUCUAAGUGUAUAUUUUCAUUGUUUUUAUCUUGACAUUUUAACAUUUAAAAAGUUCAUAUUUAAUUAAUCUAUAGUAAAAAAAAAUUGUGGAUAAUAUUAUGAGGAUGUUCUAAACAUGAGUGCCAACAAAUCAUUUAAAAAUUUUAAAGUUAAAGGACAAUUAAACAUAUUUUGUUUUAGCAAGUAUUAAAAGUAAUAUCUAGAUGAUUUUGUAGGGACUAUGAAGCAUCCCAAUUUCGUCUGGCCAAUUAAAAAAAUUCUAAAAAUAAAUCAUAUGUUUAAUUUUAUUGUUUGCCAUGAUUAUUAUUUUCCUAAAAAAAGAUUCAAAAAAAUGAAAGAAAAGAUUCAGAGUGACAUUAAUAAAUUUGGCCCAAUAGUUAGACCCAUAUUAACUCAUAGUGGAUCACAAUUAUGCUUAUUAAUUAAUGAAAGUUAAACUAUGCAUUAAGCAAGUGUGAUAGUUUUUGUGUGGGUUGCAUCUGAUUUUGGUUGUCUUUAGUUCUAGUUGUCUUUGGUUCCUGUUUGCCUCCAAUUCUGGUUGUCUCUGGUUCCUAGUUGCAAUUGUGCAUACUAGUUAGUGAAAGCCUAAAUUGUGUAUUAAGUCAAUGUGAUAUAUUUGGUCUUGGUUACCUUUAGUUUCUGGUUGCCUCAAGUUCUAGUUGCCUCUGGUUCUGGUCGCCUCAAGUUCUAAUUGUUUGUAGUUAUUGGUUUCCUCUGAUUUCUAGUUGUAUUUGGUUCUAGUUGCCUCUGAUUUUGGUUUGGGCUCAACUCAGCAAGCUAUAGGAGUACACUCCCUUCCAUCUUUUCAACCUCCUUGCUUUUCACCUUUCUUACGGCUACAAUGUUCCUAUGUAUUCAUAUAAUUAAAAAAUACAUCCUCUCUUCAACCAUUUUUUUAGCCACUUUUGUUUUUUUUUUCUUUCUUUUUAUCCUAAUAUGGCUACAAUUGUUACCAUGUAUAUAAUCAAUUAGAAAAUGCAUCCUCUCUUUUCUAGACUUACCUUAGUAAAUCCAAUUUUUCAACAAAAAACAAGCAAUGAUUCAAAAUCCAAUUUUUUCACAUGGAUACGUUGAUUCAUCAUUUGUUAUAGAGUAAGAAAAUCAAAGGGAAUUUUUUUUUCUUCAUUUUUUGAGACUAGUCAGAGUUUUGUUAGUAAGUGAUUUGAAACACGAAAUUAGUUAUAGAAAAAUACACUAAUUCAAAAUGCAAGCAAAUAUCAGUCAGAGCAAAUCAAAUCAGUGUAACAAAUAUUCAUCUUGUGUGUGAUAACUAUUUCUAAACUCAUUUGUGUAAUAAUUUUAUAGUUUUUUUUAGCGUUAUACCUUUAAUUUGAAUUUGUUUUAUCUUUAUUUAUUUUUUAUUCUUAGUGUGCUCUCUUAUAUCUUCUUCAACCUCACAACCAUAAAUUAAUUAGGAGAUAAAAAUUAAUAAGACCAAAAUCCUUUUUUUUAUUUAUAUAAAAAUACCUAAAACAAAAAGAAAAAACUUACCUCAAUGAGUUUGUCUUUAUUUAUCUUAAACAAGUGUUGAGAAGUUUUUAUAUCCCAAACACUUUUAUUAUACACAUCAUUUGUAACCCAAGUCUAUCUUUUAUGUUAGAUGUAGUGUGUUUGUAAAAAUCCUUUUAAGACUGAAAGAUGUUUGUAAAAAUCUUUUAUGUUAUCUU
rnacentral:lncRNA from 1 species